CCAAACUUGGUCAUUUAGAGGAAGUAAAAGUCGUAACAAGGUUUCCGUAGGUGAACCUGCGGAAGGAUCAUCACUGAUUCAGGGAGAGAGGGCGUGCGUGUGCGUGCGUCGUGCGCGCUCGCGUCGCGCGCGCACCGCGCCCCAUCCCAACCAACCUUUUGUGCACGGUUUUCACGGUCAACGAGACGCGCGCGCCGCACGUGUGUUGGCAAGGUCCACCCACCAGUGUUGUGUAUGGUGGUGGCUUGCCAACCCGCGCGCAUGCGCGCGUUCUCUAUGCAUUACAAUCACUUGUGCAAUCUCUGUCUAAGACAUUACCUAAAUAUUACAGCACAACUUUCAACAAUGGAUCUCUUGGCUCUCGCAUCGAUGAAGAACGCAGC
rnacentral:misc_RNA from 1 species